UUUUUUUUUUUUUUUUUAAACCCUAGAAGUGUUUAAUGAGUUGUCCCUUAUAAAGGUUUACGGCCCAAAUUUAUACUACUUGUGUGAUCCAAAAUACUGCAAGUGGGAAUUAAAUUUACAGUGGAUCCCAGUAGGUGGUAACCCCCAGAUAACCGGCAGAAGCAAACAUGAAUUCUCUCUGGAGGAAUGAAACUUCAGUCUAGGUAUCAAAAAACUCCCACUGAUAAAGUUAUAAAGAAUAUGGAUAACUCAUAAUUAAAAACCACAAACCAAAGAAGGAAAUAAAGAUACCAUGAGUGCAAGUCAUCAGAAAAGACAUACAGGAGAAUCAGACUAUCAAACACUUUAGAUGUUAUAAAGAAUAUGGAUAACUCAUAAUUAAAAACCACAAACCAAAGAAGGAAAUAAAGAUACCAUGAUGCAAGUUAUCAGAAAAGACAUACAGGAGAAUCAGACUAUCAAACACUUUAGAUGUUUACACACGGAAUAUAAACUACAUGUUUCAAAUAUAUUUCAAGAAAUAAAAGAGGGACUUCAAAAUACCAAGCAACAAAAGCAUAUACUUUUGAAAGUGGUUGAUGAGAGUUAAUGUGUCCUGGCAUCCUUUAAUUAUUCAAGAGGAGAGUAAAGAGUCUUAUUAAUGUAGGACUUUAGGUAAGUAGACAUGUUACAAUGUUUGGAACAACUGUUAAAAGAAUAAAUAUAGAGAGUAUGGCAUUUAAGCUAAUAUGAGGAAAAUGGAAUGAUAAACUAGAAAGCUGAGAAAAAUAGUAAUGCAUAAAUGAAUUAAACUCUCCAGUUGAAAGAUAAAGCCUGUAAUACUGGAUUUUAAAAAUGCAGCUAUAUGCUAGUUUUAAAUGACAUAUCUAAAUCUUUAAAGAAAGAUUGAAAAGGAAAAAAAUAUAUAAGAGGCAGAUAUCAGAGAAAGUAAGGAUAUCUCUACAAAAUAAUAAAUGGUUCAAUUACUAAUAAACAGUUCAAUUUGUUAGGGUGAUUUACUAAUUCUCAACUAAGCUUAAUAAUAUAGCCUCAAGAUACAUAAGCAGAACUAAGUUUAAAAUGUCAGUAACUGACAUGACAAAUGGACAGAAAUGGUGGUCAAUAAAGAAUAUUUAUAUGGCAAAAUAAAUAAGCUUGGUACAAUGACAUAAAUAGAACAUUACACCCAAGAAUAUGAACAAUUACACAUUAUUUUCAAGCACAGAUUGAAAAUUGACUCUUAGGCCAUAAAGCAAACCUUAGUAAAUUCCAAAGAUUAGAAUCAGCUAGAUCACACACUUGCCAAUCAUAAUGAAAGUUAAUUAAAAAGUCAAGAAAAUUUUUUCUAAUGCAUUUGGAAAUUUAUUAACGUAUAUAAACCAAAGAAUCAAUGAAAAAAUCCUAAUGGAUAUUAGAAAAUACUUAGGACUGAAUUACAUAAAAAUCCUAUGCAUUAAUACUCUUGGGAUACAGCUAAAGGGAUAGUUAGGGGAAAAUUUAUGGUCUGAAAUGUUUUGAGUCCAAGAAGAAGAAAAGACUGAAAUUUUAUGAGGUAAGCAUAAAAGAACAACAUUAUUCUUCCAGAGAAGGAAAGGCAAAAAAGUAAUAAAAUAAUAGUGAUGAGAUCAGGAUUUAAUGAUACAGAAAAUGAACAUAUAAUUGAGAGAUCAACAAAGCUAGAAAUUAAGACAAAUAGGCAAAUCUAACAUUAUUAAACAAGAAAAAAUAGGGAAGGCACAAAAAUAUUAGGAAUCAAAGCGUAUGUAAUUAUAGAUUCAGAGAUUUGAAAGUUAAUAAAGUAAUAAGUAUGAACAACUUUGGCCAAUAAAUCUGAAAGUUUAGACAAAAUGGACACAUAUCUAGAAAGAUAUGAUUAGUCCUGUAACAUUAAACAAGUCUAGUAAAUAGUUUAAAAUCCAAGACUGCAUAUUCUUUGUAGAAAGAUUUUGUGUGAUCCGUUGAAAAUGCUGGAAAUGUCUAGCUCCUUCUGGAUCCCGGCAUGUUGAUGGUUUAAAGUUCAUUUGGAAGAAUAAAUGAUCAAGACUAGCUCAAGAAAACCCAAAAAAAGAGAGCACUUGGGAAAGGGAGGGUAUUAAAACAUAAAGCCUCUAAAAUGAAAAUGUGGUUUAGGCACAUGAAUGGGCCAAUGGGACACAAUAGAAAAUUCAGAAAUAGACCCAACUGCAUAUGAAAAUUCAAGAUACAAUAAAGAUUGUGACUUCAAAAACACACACCUAAGUCAGCAGAACAUAAAUAGAAAGCCCAGAAAUAAACCCACAUGCCUGUGGUCAUUUAACCUACAACAAAGCAGGCAAGGAUAUACAAUGAAGAGAAGACAGUCCCUUCAAUAAGCAGUGCUGGGAAAACUGGGCUAUUCCCUGUAAAACAAUGAGAUUAGAAUAUUUCCUCACACCACACACAAAAAUAAACUCAAAAUGGAUCUACGACCUGAAACCAUAAAACUAGAAGAGAAUUUUUUUGGGUCUGUCUCCAAAAGAAAUAAAAGCAGAAAUAAACAAAUAGGACCUAAUUAAGCCUAAAAGCUUUUGCACAGCAAAGGAAACCUUCGGUAAAAGGAAAAGACAACCUACUGAAUGGGAGAAAAUGUUUGCAAAUGAUGUGAUUGAUAAAGGGGUAAUAUCCAAAAUAUAUAAGACAGCUUAUACAACUCAACAUCAAAAAACAAACAAUCCAAUUAAGAAAUGGGCAGAAGACAUAUAGGUGGCCAACAGGUACAUGAAAAGAUGUCCAACAUCAUUCAUCAUCAGAAAAAUGCAAAUUAAAAACACAAUUAGCCAUCACCUCACACAUAUCAGAAUGGCUAUCAUCAAAAAGAACACAAAUAACAAAUUUUGGGCAAGGAUUGGAGAAAAGGGAAUCUUCCUAAACUGAUGGUAGGAAUGAAAAUUAGUGCAGCCACUGUGGAAAGCAGUAUGGAGGUUUCUCAAAAAAAGUAAAAAUGGAACUAGCAUGGGACCUGGCACCUUCCACUCCCAGGCAAAUAUCUGAAAAAAAGUGAAACCACUAAUUGAAAAAGAUUCAUGCACCCCCAAUGUUCAAAGGAACAUUAUUCACAGUUGCCAAGAUAAUGGCAGCAACCUUAAUGUUCACCAACAGAUGAAUGGAUUAAGAUGUGGUACACAACACACAAUGAAAUUCUUCUCAGCCAUAAAAAGAAAGAAAUUUUGUCAUUUGCAGCAACAUGGAUUGACUUGGGAUUAUGCUAAGGGAAAUAAGUCAGAGAGAGAAAGACAAAUACCGUAUGAUGUGGAACUUAAAAAACACAACAAACUAGUAAAUAAACACACAAAACCAGACUCACAGAUAUAGAGAACUGAUUAGUGGUUACCAGUGGAGGGGGUAGGAGAUUAAGAGACAUAAAGUGUAUAAAGGAUAUAUUUUGCAGCACAGAGAACAUAGCCUGUAGUUUGUAAUAACUAUAAAUAGAACAUAAACUUUAGAAAUGGUGAGACCAUGAUGGAAGAUAAUAUGAGAAAAAGAAUAUAUAUAUGAAUGAUUAGGUCACUUUGCUAUACAGCAGAAAUUGGCAGAACAUUGUAAAUCAACUAUACUUUAGAAUUUUUUAAAAAAGAAAUUGUGAAUAUAUUGUCCACCCAAAAUUUAUAUAAUAUUGUUUAUCAGCUAAACCUCAAACAAACAAAAAACCCCCCAAAAACCCGCUCAAAGAACUAAAAAUAGAACUACCAUAUGACACAAGAAUUCCAUUCCUGAGUAUAUAUCCAAAAAACCCAAAAACACUAAUUUGAAAAGACGCAUGAAAUGUUCACAGCAACAUUAUUUACAAUAGCCAAGAUGUGGAAGCAACUUGAGUGUCCAUCAACAGAUGAAGGACCUCUCUAUAUAUCCACACUGGAGUAUCACUCAGCCAUAAAAAGAAAUGAAAUUCUGCAAUUUGCAACAAGUGGAUGGGCCUAGAGAGUAUUACGCUUAGUGAAAUAAGUCAGAGGGAGACAAAAUUAUGUUAUCACUUAUAUGUAGAAUCUAAAAAAUACAUGAAUGUACAUAAUGAAACAGAACCACAGAUAUAGAAAAGAAACUGGUAGAUACCAAUGGAGAGAGAGAAGGGGGAAUUAUGAGAUACAAAUUAUUACAUAUAAAAUAGAUAAGCAAUAAGAAUAUAUUGCAUAGCACAGGGAAUGUAUAGCCAUUAUGUUGUUAUAACUUUUUUUUUUUUUUUGUCUUUUUUGCCUUUUCUAGGGCCGCAGCCAUAGCAUAUGGAGGUUCCCAGGCUAGGGGGUCGAGUCAGCUGUAGCCACCCACCUAUGCCAGAGCCACAGCAACGACGGAUCCUUCACCCACGGAGCAAGGCCAGGGAUCAAAACUGCAACCUCUAACGAUCCGGCGUUGCUGUGAGCUGCGGUGUAGGAUGCAGACACGGCUCGGAUCCCGCAUUGCUGUGGCUCUGGCAUAGCAGCUCCGAUUCGACCCCUAGCCUGGGAACCUCCAUAUGGCGCGGGAGCGGCCCAAAGAAAUAGCGAAAAGAUAAAAAACAAAACAAAACUGCAACCUCAUGGUUCCUCGUCAGAUUCAUUAACCACUGCGCCACGAUGGGAACUCCUAUUUUGUUAUAACUUUAAAUGGAGUAUAAUCUAUACAAGUAUUGAAUUGCUGUGCUGUAUACCUGAAAUAUAAUAUUGUAAAUCAACGAUACCUCAAGGAAAAAAAAAAAAAAAAAGGUGGUGCCUUAAGUCAGUCGGGGGAAAAGAUGGACUAUAAAAAUGAAUGGUAUUGGUAUCACUGGAUACCCAUACAGAAAAUGAAAAAAAGAUCUGUUCCUAACAAUAUGUGCCAAGAUAAUUUUCAAAUUGAGUAGAGAUUUAGAUGUACAAUAUUAAACCAUACAAUGACUGGAAAAAAGUAAGAUGAAUUCCUCAGUAGACCAGCUUGUCCAAACCUGUGAGUCUACUUUUAGGCUGUGGGAGAUAAGAAUUUUUUUCACCUUUGAAGGAUUUAAUAAACUAGGAGGAGGAAAAGGACAUGAACAAAAUUGGUUGUAAACCCUAAAAUAUUUGCUGAAAUAUUUUUAUUUUUAACGGUUGUCAGCCCCUACUAUGUGACUUGGGAGUGAGGAAAACUUCCUAACGGUACUGGUUAGUUAUUGCAUGAAAACGCCACUGAGGCAGCUCUGCUCCACGUGUCUUUCAGUUCUCUUGGACCAGUAGGAAACUAUUUUCCACCCCUUUGGUGAAAGAGAUUAUAAAUUAACAUGGCAAAGGAUGGGAAUACAGAGAAGGGUGAAGAUUUAAGGCCAGUAAAGUAAUUCUCCAGACUAAGUAUGACUUGAAACUCCAGAUACAACAGAGAGAUCGUUGACUAUGCCAAAAACAAACAAACCAACCAACCCACCAACAAACAAAAAGACACCUUUUGCAUCCCAAAUAUACCAAAGUAAAAUACAACAGAUAACUGGGAAAACGUACUUUCAAUUUAUUUCACAAAUUAACAGCUUCUAAAAAUAGAGAAGGUCCUAUGGGAAACUAGGGAAAGGAGAUGAAGACUGUUC
rnacentral:lncRNA from 1 species